rnacentral:rRNA from 1 species
CGGAGUAACACGUGAGCAACCUGCCUUUCAGUGGGGGACGAACAUUUGGAAACGAAUGCUAAUACCGCAUAAGACCACAGUGUCGCAUGGCACAGGGGUCAAAGGAUUUAUCCGCUGAAAGAUGGGCUCGCGUCCGAUUAGCUAGAUGGUGAGGUAACGGCCCACCAUGGCGACGAUCGGUAGCCGGACUGAGAGGUUGAACGGCCACAUUGGGACUGAGACACGGCCCAGACUCCUACGGGAGGCAGCAUG